AUUUGUGUUAUGGCCCGCUGUCAAAGUACAUUUUCAUGAAAGAGUUGAAUUUAUUGCCGAUUUUGCGAUUUCGCGUGAAAAUCUUCGUAUUUUUGUGAAAAUGUGUUAUUAGUUUCCGUUUUAAGAUCACAUAACAAUGGCUUUUGAGUGCGUUAUUGUGAAAGAAGAGCCGAAUUUAAAGGAGGACGGUGAUAAUGAAGUUUCUUCUGAAACCGCUAGUCAAAAUGGGGCCGAUGCCGAAAAAAAUAUUAUUAAAGUAGAAAUUGAAGUAGAAGCACCGGCUGUAAGAAUAAAACCAGAGCCUCUCGACCCUCAACCCUCACCCCCUCGUUCUCCAUCAGACUCCUCGUGGCACGCGCCAUGCCAGGAGGGGUCAGCCGUCCCAGCUGCUGGAGAAGUCACCAAUAUCCUGCCGGAGAAGUACAUACAGGUCUCUAUUAAAGAGGAGGUGGAUUCUGAUGAUUUGCCGGAGGAAGUUCCCCCCGAAGAUCCACCUUCUGAUGACCUGAACAUCGAGAGCUUCAAGAGGAACGAAAAUAAUGAAUUCUACACCAACGCACCAACCGGACCGGGCUACGUCUGCCAAAUUUGCAAAAAAACUUUCGCUAACCAAGGCAACGUACAGCGCCAUCUACUCAUACACACGAGAGAAACUCUCAAAUGUGAUCUCUGUGACGCCGAGUUUCUCAACCAGAUGAGAUUGGACCGACACAAGUUCAACCGACAUACGAUACCUACCGCCCGCCUAUACCCUUGCGAUGUCUGCCAAAAAUCAUUUAAAUCCUCCUCUAAUUUAAUGCAACAUAAAAAAGUUCAUUUAACAGAAAAACCUUACAAAUGUCCUUUAUGUAAUAAAAGCUUUUCGUUCAAAACUAAUUUGAAAAAACAUCAAGGAAAGAGUCGAUGUAAAAUACAGACAGACGAGCCUCUAGUAUGUCAUGUUUGUCACAAGAUUUUCGAAAAGGAAUAUCUAUUAAAAUCUCAUUUGAGGAAACAUGAUAAUGAUAGGCCGUUUUCUUGCGAACAAUGCCCUACUACUUUUAAGCAUAAAAGCACUUUAAUACGACAUAUGCAGCUUCAUAAUGGAGUUCGUCCGUUUUCGUGCCCCGUUUGUGAUAAAACUUUUACCAGUUCGGGUCUUUUAAAGCCUCAUAUGCGAGUGCAUACAGGUGAGAAACCUUAUACUUGUCAACUUUGUGACAAAACUUUCGCUCAUAAGCAUAACAUGCAACGUCAUAUGCUCGGCCAUGAUAAAGUAAAACACACAGUUUGCGAAAUUUGUCAUAAGAAAUUUCCUAGAGAGAGUAGAUUAAAAUAUCAUAUGAAGACGCAUGUUAAUGAGAAGUAUUUCCGUUGUCAUGUAUGUCCUAAGAGGUUUUCUCAUAAACAGAAUGUUUUGAGGCAUUAUACGAGGAAACAUCCGGGGCAGACUUAUACUUGUACCGACACUGAUGCGUCGGUCGCUAUGAAGGUAUGGGAUACCUUCAAAAGUAAAUAUGGUGAGGAAGAGGCGGAAGAAAUAUUAGGUUGAAGUAAUUAGUUAUUUAAUGCUGUUGAAUUCUUAUGGCCAGUUUUACAAGUCUCUGAGAGCUAUCAGGAAUCUGGCAGAUAAACUAUUAUCUUUUUGAUUUAUAAAUCAUCCUCUGAGCCUCUUGGCGUUGAGGCUCAGACAAGGGAAUCUGGUUAUGAAUGUUGUUAAAUAUAGCGCCCUCUAGUGGUUUGCUUGUAAAUUAAUGGCUGCGCCAUUUUUAAUGAUGUUUGUUGUUGCCAGUAGCAUUUUUGUUUUUUUUUUUUUUUAAUUAGUGAGAAUGAUACUGUUAAGGUAAGUUUUGAAUGCUUCAUCGAUCGAUCAUCAUCUCCCGAGCCUUUUCCCAACUAUGUUGGUUUCGGCUUCCAGUCUAACCGGAUUCAGCUAUGUGUGAGUACCAGUCGCUGCCAGAUAUCGAACGAUUUUUAAGCAAUCGCUGCAAGUGCGGUCGACAGUUGCAGUUGGCUUUCAAAACGCACCUUUACUGUUAUUGACAGUAGCAUUUUUGUUAUUGAUCGAGUGUGUACUGUUAUUCUUGUUUUUUCAGAGAAACUAUAUUAGUUUUAACUAUUUAUACUUUGAUAUCUUGGCGUAUAAUAUGCUUUUUGUAAAAGUACGCCAUCUAUCGGUAGACAUUAACAUUAUUUAUUUAUUAAAUGAAUUUGUUUUUACUUGUGUAUUAGAAUAAUAAAUAAAUUAUCUAGUUUUAAACAAAAUAUUGAUAAGUACACGUUUAUAAGAUUUUAAUGCUGUUUUUACCUAAGAGAAGUACAUUAUUUUAAUUUGAAAAUGUAGUUUAGCUUGUGUAAUAUAAUAGAAUAUUUAAUAUUAUUAGCCAAAUUACUUGUAAGGGCAAGUAUAAAAUCUCUAUAAGUAGAUAUUUGUUUGUAUGUUUCAUUGUUUUUAUCCCAAAAACUAACAGUCUACUUUUUGUAAAUGGCAUUUUUUAACUAAAAUAAUUUAUUUGCCCACAGUAUUUUGUACACAGUUCCUAAACUAGCAUUAAUAAUAUAUUUAAUUAAUAAGUAAUAUAUUUCUUUCGAAUAUAGUGGUGCCAAGUUAUAUUCUAAGUAUAUAAAUAUUUUUCAAUAUUAUCUAUCAAUGUUAAAGUAUAGUGUGCACUGUAUUUCUUCCCUACUUUAAUGUAAUUGGCACAAUUUAGGUAUAAUAGCCGAAUAUACAUAUUUAGGCAAAAAUAUAUUAUAUAGGGUGACUGGUAUUUAGUGACCGAUUCAUAAACACAUGUUUUUUAUUCAUUAAUUCAUAAUUCGUUAGUUUAAUCACAAUAUAUAUAUCUAUAUAAAUAGCGUUUUAGUACUUUAACUGUCAGUUGCACAAAGCUCCAUUAAAGUUAAAGCUUCUUUAAACCUAUUGCUGACUCUUUCUUUGUCAACAAGAUAAAAAGUAUCAGCAAUAGAUUUAAUGAAACUUUAACGUUUAUUGAGCUUUGUGCAACUAACGAUAAGAGGGGUAUAUCUUGAAAUCCCGACGUACUAGCUAGACCAACUUUAUGUUCUGAACUUUCAUUACGUAUUGAAUAUUCUACAAGAAAUAUAUUAGUAUAUAUUUCACCUCUGUAACAAAAAAUAUAAUAAUAAAUUGUAGACCAGUGUUACCAGUCACCCCUAUGUAAAAAUAAUUGUUAUAUAAAACAUCUAUUAACAUUUUAAGUCUUCAAAGUUAAAGCAUUUACUAAUUAUUAAAAAAAAUAGAUUAAGAUCUCAUAAAACAACUAUUUAAAGUUACAAAUUGUCUUUUUAAUUGUAAAAAUAAUAAUUUAUUCUACAUUGUGUAGGUAAUGAAAUAACUGUUUUAUGUAAGUAGUUCAUUACAUAUAUUAACGGCAGUUUCCAAUAUUCUAUGUAUUUUGGGGUUUGCUUAGUAGAGAUAGGAAUUCUGUUUCGGAUGGCACGUUAAACUGUAGGUCCCGGCUGUCAUUGAACAUCCUUGGCAGUCGUUACGGGUAGUCAGAAGCCAGUAAGUCUGACACCAGUCUAACCAAGGGGUAUUGGGUUGCCCGGGUAACUGGGUUGAGGAGGUUAGAUAGGCA
rnacentral:misc_RNA from 1 species